GGCUCCUUGCAAUCUAUAUACAUAGGGAGUCAGACCUCCCCGGUGAAUUUUUAACGGCCGCGGUACUCUGACCGUGCGAAGGUAGCAUAAUAAUUUGCCUUAUAAUUGAAGGCUUGUAUGAAUGGUUUGACAAGAGCGUUACUGUCUCCUUAUAAUUGAAUAGAAUUUUACUUAUAGGUGAAAAGGCCUAUAUAAUAUUGAAAGACAAGAAGACCCUAUCGAGCUUUAAAUAAACAAAUAGAAUUAAAAUUUUAUAUUAAUAAAAGAAUUAGCUAUUAAAUAUUUUGGUUGGGGCGACUGAGGAACAAAAAAGCUUCCUUUAUACUAAAAAACAAGCUAGUUUUGAUCCAAAAAGUUUGAUUAAAGAAAUUAGUUACCGUAGGGAUAACAGCAUAAUUCUCUUUGAGAGUUCUAAUCGAAAAGAGGGUUUGUGACCUCGAUGUUGGACCAGAAUAUCCUAAAGAUGCAGCCGUCUUUAAGGGUUGGUCUGUUCGACCAUUAAAAUUCUACGUGAUCUGAGUUCAGACCGGCGUGAGCCAGGUCAGUUUCUAUCUUCAAUUUUUAAGGGUAGACUUAGUACGAAAGGACCAGCCUACCACAAUAGAUUUUGUUUUUCAUGAAGAAAUAUAAAAUUCCAUUAAAUUUUCACUUAUCAAAUUAGCAAAGAUUAAUGCAAUUGACUUAGGAUCAAUAAACAUAGGUGAAAUCCCUUUAUUUGAUAAAAUAAAGAUGGCAGAAGAA
rnacentral:rRNA from 1 species